rnacentral:rRNA from 1 species
GAUGAACGCUGGCGGCGUGCCUAAUACAUGCCAGUCGAGCGAACGGACGAGAAGCUUGCUUCUCUGAUGUUAGCGGCGGACGGGUGAGUAACACGUGGAUAACCUACCUAUAAGACUGGGAUAACUUCGGGAAACCGGAGCUAAUACCGGAUAAUAUUUUGAACCGCAUGGUUCAAAAGUGAAAGACGGUCUUGCUGUCACUUAUAGAUGGAUCCGCGCUGCAUUAGCUAGUUGGUAAGGUAACGGCUUACCAAGGCAACGAUGCAUAGCCGACCUGAGAGGGUGAGCGGCCACACGGGAACUGAGACACGGUCCAGACUCCUACGGGAGGCAGCAGUAGGGAAUCUUCCGCAAUGGGCGAAAGCCUGACGGAGCAACGCCGCGUGAGUGAUGAAGGUCUUCGGAUCGGAAAACUCUGUUAUUAGGGAAGAACAUAUGUGUAAGUAACUGGGCACAUCUUGACGGUACCUAAUCAGAAAGCCACGGCUAACUACGUG